AGGUCUGCUUCUUGGUCCCUACACUUGAUUACGACUGCUUUUAAGCUUGGGAAACGAUUGCCUAUGAUCUCUCUCAGUGUUAAGAUGCUGCAGUUAAGAGGAACUUGGGCCUAUCUUAUGUCUUUCGCAAAUACUAAUUCAGAGAUCUCCGCAUAAAUAAUUUAUGUUUAAAUAGAGAUAUAACCAAACACUAUAGUUUAUUGAUUUCGACAAACACCAAUAUAUUAUAUAUUGAGUAUGAAAACAACUGGAAGAAGCUAAUUACCUCUAUUUGCCGCGACGAUAGCUACCAGCUAACCUGACGACUUUAGCAGCCGCUUGAGCAGCUGCAACAGCUGUCUCAGCGGCUGCAGUAGUGGUCGCUGCAACAACAAUGGUAUGGUUAUGAUCCUUAGCCAUAGUAGACGAUAAACCAAUGUUGCUCUCUCCAUUACUAAUAAGAUCCGGAGAACUAACUCCCUGCUAGAAAAUAUUCAAAGUGACAACUUCCGGAGGCUUAGGUUGUCAUUUACUCUCUAAUGUUUCCUUCUAAAAAGCAUUUAGAACAAUUCAACCAACUCAUCACGCCAUUAAUCAUCGCUUAAGAUGAAUAUUUUUAGACAAUCCCCAACUCAAGAAAUUCACUAAUUUGGAAAUAACUAUUAAAUCACUACAAAAUAAUUACUAUGAAAAAAAAGUGUUUGUCCAGUUACAAAUAUUCUCACCAACAUCAAACUAAGUUAAGUUGAUGGGUGAUCCAAACACUACUACACCUUUCAGUUAAUAGCACUCAUAAAUCUUCCUAUCCUACUGGGAUCAGCUCGUACCUUUUUCAUUAUGAUUCAAUUCAUCUUUUAAUCAUACUAAUUCAAAUGCCAACGACACUCAAAAGAACCUCUAGAAAAAAGUUAUAUUCUUAUAAUAAAACCAGAUUUGAGAAAAACAGAAAUGCCACAUACCUUUGGAAUUUCUGCAACAUACUGCCGCGAUUCACCUGCUUAACUGAUAGCUGACAAUAAUGUAAUUAACCAAUAAAAAGAUAAACAAGUUAAAAUUCCACAUUUAAUAGUAGUUUAAAAGGCAAAUCGGCGUAGGAAUUCGUAUGCCUUGAGAAAAUCGAGAGAGUCAGCAGCCAUUGGCCUUUGCUAGGCAAGCCGAGUCGAACUUUGGUUCUAUCGGAAGGUUUCUUAUCCACAUUACUGCUCACAACAGUCAAAGGAGACGCCUCCGAGCAACAUGAGAUGGUGAAUUUAACGGAAACUCUGCGGCAGCUAGUGAUGACUGAUGAAUCAGAAGAAAAGAGAAUCGAUAAAGAGCCUUGAAGGAAAAACGUCUAAAUAGACAACAUGUUUUCACUUUUUCUGGCGAGAAUUAGGGCGGAGACGGAGGUCGAUAGUGGAGAAGAGAUAAAAGCAGCGCCGCCGUAAAGGAGUGAUUGGGUAGGUGGAGAGUGGAGACGGAAGUAAUAGGCGCGUGUGGUGUAGGAAAUCAAUUUGGUCGAUUUUUGGUCUUUUUAUUACUUAAUCUUUUUCUUCAAUUCUAAGAAAGAAAUAUCCCGAAAAAUCCGUCAAUAAAUGACGGACUCUUAGUAAGGAUGAUAAUUAUUUAGGAACAGAUGGAGUAGUUCAUAAGCAACCAAAUUAGAUCAGCUACUCUAUUGCAUAUUGAAUUAACUUCAUAGACAUGUCAAGUGCAUAAAAGAUCCAUUCAUAA
rnacentral:lncRNA from 1 species